rnacentral:ncRNA from 1 species
ACAGUACAAACUGAGCAGGCGAUGAACCGUUGAGGUCAUGGGGCCGGGCCAUCAAGAGUGGCAGCAGAGCGUAACCUUGCGCAUCUGUGGGACAGU